CCUACGGGAGGCAGCAGUGAGGAAUAUUGGUCAAUGGGCGCGAGCCUGAACCAGCCAAGUCGCGUGAGGGAAGACGGUCCUAUGGAUUGUAAACCUCUUUUGUCGGGGAGCAAAAGACGCCACGUGUGGCGUUCCGAGUGUACCCGAAGAAAAAGCAUCGGCUAACUCCGUGCCAGCCGCCGCGGUACUACGGAGGAUGCGAGCGUUAUCCGGAUUUAUUGGGUUAAAAGGGUGGGCAGGCGGAAGAUCAAGUCGGCGGUAAAAUUGAGAGGCUCAACCUCUUAGAGCCGUUGAAACUGGUUAUCUUGAGUGAGCGAGAAGUAUGCAGAAUGCGUGGUGUAGCGGUGAAAUGCAUAGAUAUCACGAAGAACUCCGAUUGCGAAGGCAGCAUACCGGCGCUCAACUGACGCUCAUGCACGAAAGUGUGGGUAUCGAACAGGAUUAGAUACCCUUGUAGUC
rnacentral:rRNA from 1 species